GACGAACGCUGGCGGCGUGCUUAACACAUGCAAGUCGAACGGAAAGGCCCUGCUUUUGUGGGGUGAUCGAGUGGCGAACGGGUGAGUAACACGUGAGUAACCUGCCCUUGACUUUGGGAUAACUUAAGGAAACUGGGGCUAAUACCGGAUAGGAGCUCCUGCUGCAUGGUGGGGGUUGGAAAGUUUCGGCGGUUGGGGAUGGACUCGCGGCUUAUCAGCUUGUUGGUGGGGUAGUGGCUUACCAAGGCUUUGACGGGUAGCCGGCCUGAGAGGGUGACCGGCCACAUUGGGACUGAGAGACGGCCCAGACUCCUACGGGAGGCAGCAGUGGGGAAUAUUGCACAGUGGGCGGAAGCCUGAUGAAGCAACGCCGCGUUCGUGAUGACGGCCUUCGGGUUGUAAACCGCUUUCGCCUGUGACGAAGCGUGAGUGACGGUAAUGGGUGAAGAAGCACCGGCUAACUACGUG
rnacentral:rRNA from 1 species